rnacentral:rRNA from 1 species
UACGAAGGGGGCUAGCGUUGCUCGGAAUCACUGGGCGUAAAGCGCACGUAGGCGGGUUUUUAAGUCAGGGGUGAAAUCCUGGAGCUCAACUCCAGAACUGCCUUUGAUACUGGGAAGCUUGAGUCCGGGAGAGGUGAGUGGAACUCCGAGUGUAGAGGUGAAAUUCGUAGAUAUUCGGAAGAACACCAGUGGCGAAGGCGGCUCACUGGCCCGGUACUGACGCUGAGGUGCGAAAGCGUGGGGAGCAAACAGG